UACGUAGGGUGCAAGCGUUAAUCGGAAUUACUGGGCGUAAAGCGUGCGCAGGCGGUUGUGCAAGACAGAUGUGAAAUCCCCGGGCUUAACCUGGGAACUGCAUUUGUGACUGGCAGGCUAGAGUAUGGCAGAGGGGGGUAGAAUUCCACGUGUAGCAGUGAAAUGCGUAGAGAUGUGGAGGAAUACCGAUGGCGAAGGCAGCCCCCUGGGCCAAUACUGACGCUCAUGCACGAAAGCGUGGGGAGCAAACGAGG
rnacentral:rRNA from 1 species